rnacentral:ncRNA from 1 species
CUCCGAUAAAGGCAAACCUGCUGAAAGGCAGGGGCGCAAAGCCAUAGGGCCUAAAGCGUAAUGCAAUGGCAGCCUGGCUACCGAA